rnacentral:lncRNA from 1 species
AUGAAAUACAGAACCUGAGACAAAGACAAAAACAGGAAGACAUGAGUCAGACAGAACCAGAGGUUUGCAUCACUGACCAUAACUUGCACAGAGGCUGUGGGGAUGGCAAAUAAAGCAGCAGCAAAUGACCACUCACUGUAUUAGUCUGAACUGGCUCAAGAUAACAGAACUUCCACAUACAUUACAGGGUGCAUUGGCAGUUGAGUAGUGGCAUGGAGAAUAGAGGCAUCAUGAUUACAUUAUGGAUGGAUCGAGGUGACAGAAAGACGAGACUUCCCUCUCCACCAAGACUACAGGCAGCAAGCAGCAAGCACAAGAAGAGAUCUCCUUGAGAAGUUCCCACCAACAGCCCCAUGAAAGAGAUACUACUAUUUGUGCUUUGCAUCUGAAGACAUAAAAGUCCAAAAGACACAUCUCCCAGGAAGGAGUGAAGUUGCUUCUCUAGGAUAUCUGAUACCAUUUUCUUUACGAAGACUUAAGCAAUUACAAGUGUGUUUUUACAUUGGAAGGAACUAGAAUCUGGGGGAGGCUUUUCUGGUCUGUGCAGUGAGCAGGUGUUAAGACCAUUGAAUGGAUAUUUUGAAACAAAUAUGGCCGCUGUAUGACACCUCUUGUCUUCUUACUGGUUCUCUGGCCAUCUGCUUAUUUGACAUUGAACUCUUAUUUCACAAGGUCACACAUACUAAUCGGCCUACGGAUGCUGGCAGGAAUGACAGUGGAGAGCAAUGUUUGCCACUCACUAUAGCUACUCUUCCAGAUAACAGUCACACAUCUGAAUGUGGGCUCUCUUUCUAUGAUGCAUCCCUGCUCAGUUCCACAUUUGCUCCUUGCUGGCAAGAAAUGGUUUUGUCCUCUCUGGCAAUCUCAGAACUAGUAGAAAUACCCUAAUUAUCUUCAACUUUUCCCAGGCAGCUGCCAGUCAGACUGAGAAAGGAUCUCA